GGAGGCCUCGCAUUGCACUUCUACAGAAGAAGGCCCCCCUGCACUAGCUAGCUCGGUUGGUUAGAGCGUGGUGCUGACAAUGCCAAGGUUGCAGGUUCGAUCUUCGUAACGGCCACCUGCAUUUUCCUGCAUUUCAGGGGGUUGGACUAGAGGACCCCUAGGAUUCCUUCUAAUUCUGCAGGUCUGUGAUUCUAACAUCUCGGGGGGGGGCACACAUCUUGCAUCUCCCGCUUAAAAGUGCUAGAUGAGCAGCUUACGAUAACUCCAUGUGGUCAUAUUCUGGGUGCACGUAACUGUUGCUGCACUACUGACCUACAUUUACUACUGACCUGGACCCUGUGCCUUUGGAGUAUAGUCAGGCAACUGGGGUCUAUAAAAAGACUAUUAAUCUUUGGUCUAUGGUGUAACCCUGCAGGACUUUUCAACCAAACGUUCGGCCCCUGUCUCCGGAUGGGAAGAGAAUUUCCAAAGAGAGGAAUUUUUGAGCAAGACACCUGCUGAAAGUUCAGAAAGGGGAAGUGAAGGCAAAGGUGCCUGCAGCUGCUGCUCCAGACCCAGUGGAUGCCUGGAAAAGUACAGGACAAGUGCCUGGGCAGCAGGUUCAAUGUUGAGAGACGUACUUCAACAGGAAGCUGGUACAGCUCUUUCCUGCUCACAGGUCUUUAAUAAUCAUCAUAUGGAAGAACCACCAUUAAUCCAGGUUUGCAAAUUCAUAAAGCUUGGGCUACUAGUUCGAUGAAUCAUCCCAGGACCAUAGAGGGGACAACUUGCAAAAAGGGGUUGUUUUGUAAAGGAGAAAG